CAGCAGGAAAGCCCGUCAUCCCUGAGCCGCCACCAGCCCUGCUGACCCACUGAGCCCUGCACUGGUGCAACCAUCCCGAUCGUUCCAGAUCCAGCCUGUCCCUCACAGGCAGCCCGUCCUCUCCUCAUAAAGACCCUGCAGCCCCCAUCUGCCAGCAAAACCCCGUGUAUGAGAAGUGACUGCAUUCAAACACAAUUUGUGAACCAGAAGAGCUCAAUACCUGAGGAAUUCUAAUCUGCAUAUUCCCACUCUGAGUCAGGUACUGCCUUCUAUAUCUCAUAAGAAACUUCAAAGCACU
rnacentral:lncRNA from 1 species